AGUCCUGAGCAGACACCCUUGGCUCCUGUCAGAUGCGAGCUUGCACUUCCCAAGGAGGCGCAUCCCCAGUGCGCUGUUAGGGGCUGGAGACCUGAGCUGCUUGGCGCCUGCCCGCUGUUAUCCUUGUACCUGCUGGCCCUGGAAGGACGCACAUGCCCAGCUUUGUUGUGGAAGUCAGGGCUGUUCUUGUUUAAUUUACAUUAGGCAGCCCAUCAUGGCCUGCAGCACUAAAAGAGCAGAAUAGUGAAUAAUAUCCUGCUAGAAAAAGAACUUCACGUCGUUCAGAGGUUUAGAGGACAAUGACAGCACUCAUACAACCAGAAGACGAUACGUAAAUCUUCCUUAAGGGUCUCACUAUGCAGUUCAUUGAGAACUGGCCUUCAGCUUAAUUUAAACCCAGGCUGGUCUCCACAUUAACACAAUCCC